AUGGGGGGGGGGGGUUGCGGGGUGUCAGUUUCUGUUUGUCCUCAGCUUGCCUUCGGUUCCCCCUUCACUUUGAUCACCAGGGUUGUCCCCUUCCUCCCUCACUGCUACCCAUGGGUCCCUCCUGAAAUUGCACCGCUGGGUCUAAGAGGACGACCUUCCCCAAUGGAGGAAGACCAUUCUUCCAUCAAGGGCAUAUGAGUAGGGGCACUCGCCUACCAGAAGCUCCAAACAAGCUCUCAAGGUCCAUUUGCAGGAGAAGGUAGGCUAGUCAAGCUUCCAGGACUCCCAACACUCCCGACUGUGCAUGGCAGUC
ensembl:misc_RNA 7SK 7SK RNA